rnacentral:rRNA from 1 species
GACGUAGGGAGCGAGCGUUGUCCGGAAUUACUGGGCGUAAAGAGCUCGUAGGCGGUUUGUCGCGUCUGCUGUGAAAACUCGGGGCUUAACCCCGGGCCUGCAGUGGGUACGGGCAGACUAGAGUGCGGUAGGGGAGACUGGAAUUCCUGGUGUAGCGGUGAAAUGCGCAGAUAUCAGGAGGAACACCGGUGGCGAAGGCGGGUCUCUGGGCAGUAACUGACGCUGAGGAGCGAAAGCGUGGGGAGCGAACAGG